UACAGAGGGUGCGAGCGUUGUCCGGAAUCACUGGGCGUAAAGGGCGCGUAGGCGGACUCUUAAGUCGGUGGUGAAAUCCUGGAGCUCAACUCCAGAACUGCCUUCGAUACUGGGAGUCUCGAGUCCGGGAGAGGUGAGUGGAACUGCGAGUGUAGAGGUGAAAUUCGUAGAUAUUCGCAAGAACACCAGUGGCGAAGGCGGCUCACUGGCCCGGUACUGACGCUGAGGUGCGAAAGCGUGGGGAGCAAACAGG
rnacentral:rRNA from 1 species